GAGUAGGAUAUUUGGUUUCGGCCCAUUCACAGGAGAUACCUCUCCCCUACUCU
rnacentral:tRNA from 1 species